rnacentral:rRNA from 1 species
GAGUUUGAUCUUGGCUCAGAUUGAACGCUGGCGGCAUGCCUUACACAUGCAAGUCGAACGGCAGCAUGAUCUAGCUUGCUAGAUUGAUGGCGAGUGGCGAACGGGUGAGUAAUACAUCGGAACGUGCCCUGUAGUGGGGGAUAACUAGUCGAAAGAUUAGCUAAUACCGCAUACGGCCUGAGGGUGAAAGUGGGGGACCGCAAGGCCUCAUGCUAUAGGAGCGGCCGAUGUCUGAUUAGCUAGUUGGUGGGGUAAAGGCCCACCAAGGCGACGAUCAGUAGCUGGUCUGAGAGGACGAUCAGCCACACUGGGACUGAGACACGGCCCAGACCCCUACGGAGGCAGCAGUGGGGAAUUUUGGACAAUGGGCGAAAGCCUGAUCCAGCAAUGCCGCGUGUGUGAAGAAGGCCUCGGUUGUAAG